rnacentral:rRNA from 1 species
UACGUAGGGGGCAAGCGUUGUCCGGAUUUAUUGGGCGUAAAGAGCGUGUAGGCGGCCAUACAGGUCUGCUGUGAAAACUCGAGGCUCAACCUCGAGCUGUCGGUGGAAACCGUGUGGCUAGAGUCCGGAAGAGGAGAGUGGAAUUCCCGGUGUAGCGGUGAAAUGCGCAGAUAUCGGGAAGAACACCCGUGGCUAAGGCGGCUCUCUAGUACGGUACUGACGCUGAGACGCGAAAGCGUGGGGAGCGAACAGG